ACUCUCAUGGGGAGAGUUUAUGCGGUCCCCGCCGCGUACCGGCUAGAACCCGGCUUUAUAGGAGAUAAAACAAUG
rnacentral:ncRNA from 1 species